GACGAACGCUGGCGGCGUGCUUAACACAUGCAAGUCGAACGGAAAGGCCCUGCUUUUGUGGGGUGCUCGAGUGGCGAACGGGUGAGUAACACGUGAGUAACCUGCCCUUGACUUUGGGAUAACUUCAGGAAACUGGGGCUAAUACCGGAUAUGAGCUCCUGCUGCAUGGUGGGGGUUGGAAAGUUUCGGCGGUUGGGGAUGGACUCGCGGCUUAUCAGCUUGUUGGUGGGGUAGUGGCUUACGAAGGCUUUGACGGGUAGCCGGCCUGAGAGGGUGACCGGCCACAUUGGGACUGAGAUACGGCCCAGACUCCUACGGGAGGCAGCAGUGGGGAAUAUUGCACAAUGGGCGGAAGCCUGAUGCAGCAACGCCGCGUGCGGGAUGACGGCCUUCGGGUUGUAAACCGCUUUCGCCUGUGACGAAGCGUGAGUGACGGUAAUGGGUAAAGAAGCACCGGCUAACUACGUG
rnacentral:rRNA from 1 species